rnacentral:misc_RNA from 1 species
GAAAUGCGAUAAGUAGUGUGAAUUGCAGAAUUCAGUGAAUCAUCGAAUCUUUGAACGCACAUUGCGCCCUUUGGUAUUCCUUAGGGCAUCCCUGUUCGAGCGUCAUCUAAACCUUCAAGCCCUGCUUGGUGUUGGGUGCCUGUCCCGCCUCCGCGCGCGGACUCACCUCAAAUCCAUUGGCGGCCCCCGCGUCGGCCACGAGCGCAGCAGAAACGCGAACUCGUGAGCCCGUCCGGGCGGCUCCCAGAAGCUACACCCACCCAGUUUGACCUCGGAUCAGGUAGGGAUACCCGCUGAACUUAAGC